rnacentral:rRNA from 1 species
AGCAGUCGCCGCGGGAAUACGUAGGGUGCAAGCGUUAAUCGGAAUUACUGGGCGUAAAGCGUGCGCAGGCGGUCCGCUAAGACAGAUGUGAAAUCCCCGGGCUUAACCUGGGAACUGCAUUUGUGACUGGCGGGCUAGAGUAUGGCAGAGGGGGGUAGAAUUCCACGUGUAGCAGUGAAAUGCGUAGAGAUGUGGAGGAAUACCGAUGGCGAAGGCAGCCCCCUGGGCCAAUACUGACGCUCAUGCACGAAAGCGUGGGGAGCAAACAGGAUUAGAUACCCGCGUAGUCCCUGUCUCUUAUAC